rnacentral:rRNA from 1 species
AUUGAACGCUGGCGGCAGGCCUAACACAUGCAAGUCGAGCGGUAGAGAGAAGCUUGCUUCUCUUGAGAGCGGCGGACGGGCGAGUAAUGCCUAGGAAUCUGCCUGGUAGUGGGGGAUAACGUUCGGAAACGGACGCUAAUACCGCAUACGUCCUACGGGAGAAAGCAGGGGACCUUCGGGCCUUGCGCUAUCAGAUGAGCCUAGGUCGGAUUAGGUAGUUGGUGAGGUAAUGGCUUACCAAGGCGACGAUCCGUAAUUGGUCUGAGAGGAUGAUGAGUCACACUGGGAAUGAGACACAGUACAGACUCCUACGGGAGGGAGCAGUGGGGAAUAUUGGACAAUGGGCGAAAGACUGAUCCAGCCAUGCCGCGUGUGUGAAGAAGGUCUUCGGAUUGUAAAGCACUUUAAGUUGGGAGGAAGGGUUGUAGAUUAAUACUCUGCAAUUUUGACGUUACCGACAGAAUAAGCACCGGCUAACUCUGUGCCAGCCGCCGCCGUAA